ensembl:lncRNA
CAAAGGUGGGCAGCAACUCCUCCAGACAGAAGGCUGAAGAUGGUUUCCAUGGAGACCGCUCUGGCUCUGGUUUCCAAGGCAACACUUGCAGGAGGGACAGCGACAAGCCUCAAGAGCCAGAGGGGAAAUAGAUGAGACUGAACAGUUAGCAAGAGGGGAGGACACGGCAGCCCACAGCUGCUGCCAGCCCAGCGUUAGAAAGUGCAAAGACAAAGGCCUGCAGUGCCCUGCUAUCCUCGCUUCCGGGGGGCCCUGGUGUUCCCCAGCUUUGAAGCUCCUCCCAGAAGCAGUAGAUGCUGCUCCAUAGAGCUGUCUUUCUAAAAAUUCCCCUUUAUAUAUGCCACCUGCUUUAACCUAUUUGUAGAUUUUGGAGAAAUAUUAUACAUCAGCA